UACGUAGGUGGCAAGCGUUGUCCGGAAUUAUUGGGCGUAAAGCGCGCGCAGGUGGUUUCUUAAGUCUGAUGUGAAAGCCCACGGCUCAACCGUGGAGGGUCAUUGGAAACUGGGGAACUUGAGUGCAGAAGAGGAAAGUGGAAUUCCAAGUGUAGCGGUGAAAUGCGUAGAGAUUUGGAGGAACACCAGUGGCGAAGGCGGAUCUCUGGGCCUGUCCUGACGCUCAGGCGCGAAAGCUAGGGGAGCAAACAGG
rnacentral:rRNA from 1 species